CCACUGGGGGCCUUCCUUAUGGGCUGCAGGGGAACUUCUGCUCCUGCACAUGGAGCACCUCCUGACCUCUUUCUGCACUGACCUUGGGGUCUGCAGGGCUGUUUCUCAAUCCUCUUUCCCAGCUGCUGUAGUGCAACACUUUUUCCUUUUCCUAAAUAUGCUCUCACAGUGGCGCAGCUAGCAGCACUCUCUGGCUUUGCUCUCACCAGUGGAAGGUCCCUUUGAGUCACCUGGAGUUGGCUCUAUGGGGCAGCUUGUGGACUCCUCUCACAGACGCUAUGUCUGCAGCCCUCCCCUACCAAAACCUUGCCAUAUAAACCAAAUACAUGGGUUUUAUAUGGAAUGCAGUUUAUUUUUAAUACUAAAAUGUUACAAAAACAUAUUCUAAAUAGCUUCACAAAUCCAGCUUGCUGCAGAGCAGAUCUCCAACACUCUCCAAGGUUUGUUUUAUCUCACCUAAUAUAAAUCAUCUAAACUAUUUUGAGAUAAGUAUCUAAGCUCCCCCUUAAUAUCUAUAGCAGACAUACCAAAAACAUCUAGAGGGCAAGUCAUCCCAGAGGAUUCUAAAUUAAAAAAUCUAUCCAGAAAAGAAAAAUCAGCUUUCAGAGAUGUUUGUCUCUUCAUUAACUACAAAAAAAAAAAAAAAAAAAAAAAAAAAAAAAAAAAAAUUAAAACUAUUCUAGACUAAACUAGUUGUCUAUCUAAUGGUUAGUUGAAUACGGUUGGAUGAGAUGGAUAUUAGAAAGAAACAGAAAGUCAAAUUAUCAGCACCUCAAAUUGAUAAAUAACGGUGCCCAGCCAGCUAUUGGUUGCCUUUCACUGUAGCCAGGCAAAUUUGAUUAAUUAUAAUUAAUUCAAUAAAAGACUGAGUCCUGCAGCUUAUUAAUAAUUUCAGAACCUGCAGGGUAACACUCAUACUGUGCUCAGUAUUGCCUGUCCACAUGUUGUAUAUUUACCACCACUCUUGUUAAAAGUUUAUCAUUGAAGAUGUGAGUGAACAGUUUUCCUCCUGAAAGGUCUUUGUGAAGGAUAAGUUCCUUCGUCUAGUGGUAAAACCACCAAGACAAGGCUAUGGAGAAAGCUAUUUCUUCAACACUGUCUUGAAAUUCAGUUCUGUAAUUAGCUUUGCUUACAGCUGUAUCUGAGAUCACUGGAAAAAAAAAAAAAAAAGGCUUUUGGCUUUUUGGAAAAAUCUCUAUGCUUCCUUUCCCUUUGUUCUUAGCAUGUUCAUCUGUUAAUCAUCCUAUGCAUUAUCAAUUCCACCCAAGGGCUGCGUGAGAACUGGAGAUUCAGAAAUUUUGACAAAAUCUGGGGGAGGUUGCACUGCAUACUGUCAAAAGGAGAGAAACAGAAUGAAUGAAAUCAAUUAAGAUGCCCCAGAGAAAUACUGUUUAAGGUGUAGAAUGGUAUCACAAUUACAAUCUAAAUAAAUGUAUGGCAGUAAGAUACUAAUCAUAUAUAAUGUAAAGAUUUCUAGAAUCAUGUUUUUCUGCAAGGAGAAACCUGUACCUAAAUGAACCACUAAUCUCCAUGUUAAGAGAAAAAAAGUGGAUACUUGUGAUGCUGUCCAGAAGACCACUGUAUAUGGAGGUGUUACACCGCCUCAGUGGCCUUGCCUUUAUAUAACCGUGCAGCACAAAGUUCACCCAAGAGCAUUGAUUCUGUUUGACUGUAUAAAUGAUAAAUAGAGCUUUUUUUCUUGUAAGAAAAUCCUGUAAUAGCUUGAAAGACCAAAAGGGGAUGAUAAUUGAUGGGGUCUGCAUGGUGUACUGCAAAUGGAUCAGAGUCCUGUUCAAUGCUACACAGCUCAGGGCUCCCAGCUUCUAAAAGGACAUAAGAUUAUCUGUGUUGUUCUGUUCUUAUAGCCUUAGUGCAAAUAAAUAGCACUUUAAAUGGUA